UUCAGGUGGUUAUGAAUAUAAAUUUGAGAUUAUUGAAAGCAGGAAUGCUUGUGAUAAAGAACUGCUUACCUUCCAAUUACAAUCUUAAUAACAUUAAACAUAUUUGUAGAGAGCACACGUUUCCAAGCGUGCAUAAAAUGGUUACAAUUUGCUCUAACAAUUCCAGUGAGUUCUGAUAUGUGUGAGAAAAGCUUCUCGUCAAUGUGUCGUCUAAAAACAUGACUAAAGGAAAGUUUGGAG